rnacentral:lncRNA from 1 species
AGAUUUUAACUGAUUUAGUCAUUAAAUACGCUCCGAUUCAAGCUUAAAUAUGAAAAAUCUAUCAAAUAUGCCAAAAAACGUCACUUUUCAGAUGGUUUUUGUCAAAAAUGAAAGUGGCCGCAUUCGUGUUCAUCCUCAACCUUUAUAUAUGUUAUGUAUUAUCAUCAAAUACAACUUACAUUUCAAUAUUAUGAAUGAACACGAAUGCGCCCACAUUCAUUUAAGAC